rnacentral:lncRNA from 1 species
CAUACAUACAUCUAUCCAGCUUUUUUCAUUUUUUAUUAAUAUUAAUAUAUAUAUGUACGUGCGUACUUUUUUUUUUUUUUUUUUUUUUUUUUUUUUUUAGGAUGAAUUUUUUAGCUAAUAUGGGUAAAAAAGCCAAAAAUGCCACUAUGGCAAUAAAAAGGAGCAAGAACGUUGACAACAAUGAAACGAAACAAAAAGGAUCAAAAUUGAACGAGAAGAUAGAAAAGGUUGAACGUGAGGGGGAUUUAUCAAAAGAUGGUAAAAACGAAAAAAAGGAUCAUGUUAAAGGGACUGAAUUAACUGCUAAUGUAAAAUUAAACGGACACGUAGAAAAUAAAAAAGAAAAUACUGGAGAUAGUAACAAAUUAAAUGAUGAAGAGAAAAAGCAUAUUGUUAAGGGCGAAGAAAAUAACAAUGACAAUACAGAAAUAAAAAAGUUGACUGAGGAAGACAAGAAGAAGAAGAAAAAAAACAAGAAUAAAAAAAAAAGCGAAAACAAAGAACAAGAAGAAGUGUUGGAUAGUGCUAAUGGAGAAACAGUAUUCAGUGGACAAGUGAAUGAACAACCAGGGAAACAACACAUAACUGAAGAAACACGAAGCAAAAAAAAGAACGUAAAGAAUAUAACAAAAGCUACUACCACUAUUACUACUACUACAACUACUGAAGGGGAUAAACGAAACAGUGCAUCGAACACAGUAAAUGCUAAAAAUACUUUUGCUACCACUAAUAACACAAACGGUAAUGUAAACACGAAUGAGAAGAAAAAAAAAGGAACACAAAAAGAAGAAGAGGCAGAAGCAGAGGCAGAGGCAGAGGCAGAGGCAGAGGCAGAGGCAGUUGCUAAGGACGAAUCGAAAAGAAUGGAUGACACAAAAAAUUUGAAAAGGAUGUUUAAAUUAUUGGAUGAUGAAAGAAAAAAAACAAUAAGCGAGUUAAAUAAAAAAGUUACAAAAAUAAUAAAGAAAAAGAAUCAUAAAAAUAGUGGUAAUGUGGACUUGAAUGAAAUAAACGAAGUAGAAGAAAAAAAAAAAGUAGAGUUAGAAAAUUUAAUUAACGAAAUAAAUAUAGUUGUAACGAAAAAUAAUACUAUCGUUAAUAAUAGUAACAAUGCUGCUGCGACUGCUAAAUAUGCAAAAACGAAAUUAAGCUUUACCGAAAUUGAGAACCGAAUUAAAGAAGUGAAAUUACAAAAAAAGAAAACAAAUACCAAAGAGGUGGAACAAAUAAAAGAAAUCGAUACCUAUAUAUCAUUUUUAGAAGAGCAGUUAUGUAUAGCCAAAAAUUAUGACAAUUUUAAAAAUUAUCAAAAUCAGUUAUAUGGCUUGAAAACUCAGUGUAAAGAAGAAAUACAAAAAAUAGAUCAAUAUUUAGACACUUUAAAAGAACAAGAGAAAACUUUAGCCUUUACAAAUAAAAUUAUAAAAAUGAAAGCAGAACAACAUGGAAUAAAAAUAAGCGAAUCAAAUGUUGCUAGUAAAGAAUAUAUGAUAAAGAAUGA